rnacentral:rRNA from 1 species
AUUGAACGCUGGCGGCAUGCUUUACACAUGCAAGUCGAACGGUAACAGGCCUUCGGGUGCUGACGAGUGGCGAACGGGUGAGUAAUGCAUCGGAACGUGCCCAGAGGUGGGGGAUAACGCAGCGAAAGCUGUGCUAAUACCGCAUGUGAUCUGAGGAUGAAAGCGGGGGACCAGGCAGCAAUGUUUGGCCUCGCGCCUUUGGAGCGGCCGAUGUCAGAUUAGGUAGUUGGUGGGGUAAAGGCCUACCAAGCCGACGAUCUGUAGCUGGUCUGAGAGGACGACCAGCCACACUGGGACUGAGACACGGCCCAGACUCCUACGGGAGGCAGCAGUGGGGAAUUUUGGACAAAGGGCGCAAGCCUGAUCCAGCAAUGCCGCGUGCGGGAAGAAGGCCUUCGGGUUGUAAACCGCUUUUGUACGGAACCAAAAGGCUCUGGCUAAUACCUGGGGCUGAUGACGGUACCGUAAGAAUAAGCACCGGCUAACUACGUG